UACGAAGGGGGCUAGCGUUGCUCGGAAUUACUGGGCGUAAAGCGCACGUAGGCGGCUUUCUAAGUCGGGGGUGAAAUCCUGGAGCUCAACUCCAGAACUGCCUUCGAUACUGGAAAGCUCGAGUCCGGGAGAGGUGAGUGGAACUGCGAGUGUAGAGGUGAAAUUCGUAGAUAUUCGCAAGAACACCAGUGGCGAAGGCGGCUCACUGGGCCCGGUACUGACGCUGAGGUGCGAAAGGCGUGGGGAGCAAACAGG
rnacentral:rRNA from 1 species